AGAGAAGGGAGAAAAAACCACAGUUGCACGGGCUCAGAAACAAAAAGAGAGUGAAAGUUUGAUUCUCUCAGUGAAAGACUUAACAUAAAAUUUAAUGGAGACACAUAUCAAUAAUGCAAAAUGAAAUGAUAAAUAACAAGAAUUUUUAAUGCAAAAUCAAAUUAUAAAUAAUAAAGAAUUUUUUCCAACAAAUUUAUCUAGAAGCAGAGACUCACCACCUUGCAAUCAAGUACAGGCACACCAUUCUGAUAUUUGUGAACAAGUUGACCUUAAUUUAAAGUUUUUCUUCUUCUUUUCAAGGAAGGUGGGUGGGGAUCUAGGAAAAGGAAUGAUUAAUUCAACAUGCAGAAAUUGGAUAUCUUAC
rnacentral:misc_RNA from 1 species